rnacentral:rRNA from 2 species
UUGUCUCAAAGAUUAAGCCAUGCAUGUCUCAGUACAAGCCGAAUUAAGGUGAAACCGCGAAAGGCUCAUUAAAUCAGUUAUGGUUCCUUAGAUCGUACCCACAUUUACUUGGAUAACUGUGGUAAUUCUAGAGCUAAUACAUGCAAACAGAGCUCCAACCGGAAACGGAAGGAGCGCUUUUAUUAGAUCAAAACCAAUCGGUGGCGCUCUCCGUCAUCGUACAACUUGGUGACUCUGAAUAACUUUACGCUGAUCGCACGGUCUCGCACCGGCGACGCAUCUUUCAAAUGUCUGCCUUAUCAACUGUCGAUGGUAGGUUCUGCGCCUACCAUGGUUGUAACGGGUAACGGGGAAUCAGGGUUCGAUUCCGGAGAGGGAGCCUGAGAAACGGCUACCACAUCCAAGGAAGGCAGCAGGCGCGCAAAUUACCCACUCCCGGCACGGGGAGGUAGUGACGAAAAAUAACGAUACGGGACUCAUCCGAGGCCCCGUAAUCGGAAUGAGUACACUCUAAACCCUUUAACGAGGAUCAAUUGGAGGGCAAGUCUGGUGCCAGCAGCCGCGGUAAUUCCAGCUCCAAUAGCGUAUAUUAAAGUUGUUGCGGUUAAAAAGCUCGUAGUCGAAUCUGUGUCCCGCGCCGCCGGUUCAUCGUUCGCGGUGUUAACUGGCGUGCCGCGGGACGUCCUGCCGGUGGGCUUAGCUCGAGAGGGCGGCCCAACUCAAUCCCGCCGCGGUGCUCUUCAUUGAGUGUCGAGGUGGGCCGGCACGUUUACUUUGAACAAAUUAGAGUGCUUAAAGCAGGCUAAAACUUCGCCUGAAUACUGUGUGCAUGGAAUAAUGGAAUAGGACCUCGGUUCUAUUUUGUUGGUUUUCGGAACCCCGAGGUAAUGAUUAAUAGGAACGGAUGGGGGCAUUCGUAUUGCGACGUUAGAGGUGAAAUUCUUGGAUCGUCGCAAGACGGACAGAAGCGAAAGCAUUUGCCAAAAACGCUUUCAUUGAUCAAGAACGAAAGUUAGAGGUUCGAAGGCGAUCAGAUACCGCCCUAGUUCUAACCAUAAACGAUGCCAGCUAGCGAUCCGCCGACGUUCCUCCGAUGACUCGGCGGGCAGCUUCCGGGAAACCAAAGCUUUUGGGUUCCGGGGGAAGUAUGGUUGCAAAGCUGAAACUUAAAGGAAUUGACGGAAGGGCACCACCAGGAGUGGAGCCUGCGGCUUAAUU